UCUUCUUCCAAAAACAAACCCAAAAUAAACCCAGCUCUCUCUCCAUCUCUAGACCUUCGACGACGCUGAACAAUUGAAAUUGAACAAAAACCCCAAACUCCAACCUUGAACAACUACAAGAAGAAGAAGAAGAGCCCCAAAACGACGAAGAUGCCCCUUUUCUCUCUACCUUCUUCUUCUUCACACCCAAAUUAAUCACCAUAACCACCACUGAGCUCUCUCUCCAUACCCAACCACCAAUCCCAUUACAAUCAACACUAAGCCUAAAUGCCUUCAUAUCUUCAUGAAAUUACCCUUUACAUUCUCAGGAAACCCACUUCAUCACUUCAGAUUUACUAGGCCUGAUCUGGAAAUACAUAGUGGAGAAUGAACAACUCUUUCAUUCUUACGAAACUCUGCUCGUCAGCUAACUUCGGCGGCUAAAAUCUCCAUCUUCUGUUGCUCAGAUAGUCACGACUUCUUCAUAAAAGUUGUUCAAAAUCGAGUCUUCUAAACUGUAUUCAAAUUUCAUGAAAAUCCAACGGUUGAAUCUUCCAAAAUCAAGUCCCUCUUCGAAAUGGGUCCAGUUCUUCUCUUGAGAUUGAAUUCAAUUCAUGAAGUACUCAUUUCAAUCUUGAGCAAGUUGAAGCCAUCAAGGAGAGAGAGGCAAAAGGAGAACAUAUGCAAUCUGGGUACCUCGCCCAGCCCAACACCAACGCCGCCCAAGCUGCCCAGCGCCCUCCGAAACCCGCCUAUCUGUUCUGGGUAUUUGAGUUUUUGGUAAGGUUUUUCUGGGUGAAGUGUUUUGAUUCAAAAUCUCAUUUGGGUAUUUGAGUUUUUGUGAGGUUUUCUAUCAAGAUCGAAUUUUUGGGUUUAUGUUAGUUUUGGGGCACACAUUUUGAUUGGAAUUGGGUCCAGUGUGGUUUGGAAUGAAGAAAGUGAUGGGACUGUACUCGAUUGAGCUCACUAAGUUGUGAAUGAAUCGAAAAAAUUGAAUUGAAUUAGUUAACGAAAUCCGGGAUCUAGUGAUGAUUCUGGUCAUGGGUAUGCAUAUUCUCGAUCUAGUGAGAAGAUGCUGGAGGAUGAGAGCUUCCGGAUAAUAGAGGGUCUUUAACCAGACGGAGAUAAACAGAGGAGAGGAGAGAUGUGGAAGGAGAAGAGGUAAAAAGCAAAAAGAAUAAAAUUAAUUUAAAAAAAAAAGAGUGAAUGAGGGUAUAAUAGACUUUUUAGGGGGGAAACGACCGCCACGUCAGCAGGAUAACGGAGUUUUUGACGGUAGGGACCAAUUGGGAGGAAAUUGGGAGUUCAUGGACUUUUUAGGUGAAAUUCGAAGGUCAGGGACUGAAACGAUGAAACUCUAUAAGUAUAGGGAGUAAAUAGUAUUUAACUCUUAAGUUUAAGUUAAGUGGGGUUGUCUAUGAUAUUGAGAUUUUAUCAUACACUCAUUUUAUAUCUUAAUGAAUUAAAAUUAUAAUUUAAUUGACCCAAAUUUACCACAUUGACAACAAAUUUAUCACAUUCGUUUUACAAAAUUUAAUUAUUAGUCUAGGAAUUAACUACAAGUUAGUUGGGAAAUUCUAUGGUAGUUGUAUGUAUGUGAUACACUCAUUUACAAAUCUGACAACAAUUUUGUUGUCAUUGUGGUAAAUAGAGUUAUUUUUUGGGUAAUUUUAGUUCUAUUACAGGUAAUUACUUCACCUAUGAUAUUUUUACAAGUUUAUGAACAAAUUGUUGUUGAUGUAGUAACUUAGUUCAAUUAUAUGUAAAUAUGUAAAACAAAUGUGAUAACUUUGUUGUUAAUGUUGUAAAUUUGGUUCAACUAAAUUGUAAUUUUGGUUCAAUUAUAUGUAAAUGAGUGUAUGAUAAACAUCCAAGUACUCUAGACAACCCCCAAGUUAGUUUAUGUACUUGUCCCAAGGGGAGCAUACAUGGGGCACGUUCCUCAUCAGUAUUUCAUAUCUAUUUGUUUGUCAUGCUCUUGAAUCGUCGUGUUCAAAAUGUAAGCCGAAAGACCCAAUUGUUUUCCAUAUAUUCAAGCCAUUUCCUCCUUUUGAGCCCGAGCAUUGCUCGGUUUGGUCCGACUAAUUUUCACUAAAAAAAUUGCCUCACUCUACUUAGAAAUUUCUUGAUAACUUUGAAGUAUGGUUACUUUGUUGGUAAAAACAAGAAACUAGAAAAGCUGCAUUUUUUGGCAAAUACAAGAAAGUAGAAAAGGUGGAUUUUUUCCCAAGUUAAACCUCAUUAUGCUAAAAAGUUUCUUGUUGUUGCCUUAGUACGUUGGUUCUAACUUUUGGAUCAGCGCUACUACAGUUGUCAGAGCCGGCCCUGGCGGUAGCUACCUGAGGCAGCGCAGCUUCUGGGCGGCCUCUGAAGCUUUGAGUUCCAGUAUGCUUAGUAUAAUAUAUAUCAACUUUGCGAGUUUGAAACUGGUUGGUUGUGUUAGUGCGGUGGUGAUGUGGUCUUUGCUCUAUCUUGGUAAUUGGGGUUCGACUCCUUAUGAUGACUUUUGAGAUAUGAGUUUCUCCUUCUUUUGUUUUACAUUUUCAGUUCAUUUUUUUCUUUUAUAAUCUAUAAACAGUAACAUAAUUUUUAUUAUAUACUUUUUUCUUGAUAUUAUUUUUAUAAUGGAAAAAUGAUUUUCUAUAGCUA